rnacentral:sRNA from 1 species
AAAAAUAAUAAUAAUUGGGUGUUCUUCGUGUUUAAACACAUUCUUUCAGUUUCAUACUUCUUCCUUCCAGUAAUUGUUUGUUCUUCUUGGAUCUUCUAUUUCUUUUUUUUUUAUAUAUAUCAUCUCUUUUCCAUUUGUGGAAUCAAGAUUAUGCUGACUUGAGAUCCCUUGAAUCAUUAUCCCACUUAAGUUUUUUCUCUACAAAAUGAAAAAGAGAUUAAUUGUUUGGAAAUUUAUAAAAUUUUUAGGUCGGAAUUAGAAUAAGCAUUUGUAAUUGAAUUGAACAUAAAACAAUGGAAUGCCUUUACUUUAUGCUUCUCCAAUAUGUGUAGGAAACACAGUUCUAAUGAUUAGCAAUGCAUAUUUGUAUUAAUUAUGCAGUGUUCUUCUGUGUUUUUGACAGAUUUAUAAAAAUAGAAGAAAAGAAAAAACCUGAGUGAUGGUUAGGACUUAGGAGAGAAAGAUAGAACGAUAGAGAAUUAAAAAGUACAGAUGUGUGAAGGUGAAGAAUGGUAUGAGGAUUAUGAGAUUUCAAAAACUGAUUUACAGAUAUUAUAAGAACGUCUUUUGGAGAUGACAUAACAAAAAAGAUCGUGAACGUAAAAAUAGGAUCGUGAUUAAAGAAAUAAAUUUAUUUAAUUUCGCUGAUUUUGAGGAGAAAAAGAAAUUAAGAAUAAUGAUAAA